rnacentral:rRNA from 1 species
AAUGAACGCUGGCGGCAUGCCUAACACAUGCAAGUCGAGCGAGCGGCAGACGGGUGAGAAAUGUAUGGGGAUCUGCCAGAUAGAGGGGGAUAACUACUGGAAACGGUGGCUAAUACCGCAUACUAUCUGAUUAACCACUAUGGGAUUAUCUAGUAGUUGGUGUAAAGGCUCACCUAGGCAACGAUCUCGAGCGCGUCUGAGAGGAUGAUGGUCCACACUGGGACUGAGACACGGCCCAGACUCCUACGGGAGGCAGCAGUGGGGAAUAUUGCACAAUGGGCGAAAGCCUGAUGCAGCCAUGCCGCGUGUAUGAAGAAGGCCUUAGGGUUGUAAAGUUCUUUCAGUGGGGAGGCGUUACCCGCAGAAGAAGCCCCGGCUAACUCCGUGCCAGCAGCCGCGGUAAUAC